GGACCAGCCCAGAUGGUCUCAUUGUCCUUGUGUUUAUUAAUCACAUAUUAGUAAUAACUUGAGUUUUUUUCUUUUAAUUUAUGUGAAGAAGCACAUGCCCUGCUUUUGGUCCUCACACCUUUUAUCUCAACUUAGGUGGUAUACUUGUAUCUCCACAGCCUUUCGUUACAACAAUAUCAACCUUUCUCUUGAAUCUUGGAACUUAGCAAACACGGAAGCACCACACUUUUUGAUGAUA